rnacentral:tRNA from 1 species
GCCCAGGUGGCGGAAUUGGUAGACGCACUAGGUUCAGGUCCUAGCGCCUUCACCGGCGUGGAAGUUCGAGUCUUCUCCUGGGCACCA